CCUACGGGUGGCAGCAGUGAGGAAUAUUGGUCAAUGGCCGGAAGGCUGAACCAGCCAUGCCGCGUGAAGGUCAGUGCCCUAUGGGCGUUACACUUCUUUUGUGCGGGAGCAAUAAUGGUCACGUGUGGCCAGACGAGAGUACCGUACGAAUAAGCAUCGGCUAAAUCCGUGCCAGCAGCCGCGGUAAUACGGGGGAGGCAAGCGUUAUCCCGAUUUAGUGGGUUUAAAGGGUGCGUAGGCUGGGAGGUAAGUCAGCGGUGAAAUGCCCCCGCUCAACGGGGUGAAGUGCCAUUGAUACUGGCUUGCUGGAAUGCGGAUGCGGUGGGAGGAAUGUGUGGUGUAGCGGUGAAAUGCAUAGAUAUCACACAGAACACCGAUUGCGAAGGCAUCUCACGAAUCCGCGAUUGACGCUGAUGCACGAAAGCGUGGGUAUCAAACAGGAUUAGAUACCCGUGUAGUC
rnacentral:rRNA from 1 species